rnacentral:rRNA from 1 species
UAAUACGGGGGGAGCAAGCGUUGUUCGGAUUUACUGGGCGUAAAGGGCGCGUAGGCGGCCACCGCAAGUCGACUGUGAAAUCUCCGGGCUUAACCCGGAAAGGUCAGCCGAUACUGCGGGGCUAGAGUGCAGAAGGGGCAACUGGAAUUCUCGGUGUAGCGGUGAAAUGCGUAGAUAUCGAGAGGAACACCUGCGGCGAAGGCGGGUUGCUGGGCUGACACUGACGCUGAGGCGCGAAAGC